rnacentral:rRNA from 1 species
GACAGAGGUCCCGAGCGUUAGGCGGAAUCACUGGGCUUAAGGCGUGUGUAGGCGGCGGCCUAAGUACCUUGUGAAAUCCCACGGCUCACCCGUGGAACUGCUCGGUAUACUGGGUCGCUUGAGCCACUUAGGGGCUACCGGAACAAAUGGUGGAGCGGUGAAAUGCGUAGAUAUCAUUUGGAACGCCAAUGGUGAAAACAGGUAGCUGGGAGUGUGCUGACGCUGAGACACGAAAGCCAGGGGAGCAAACGGG